UACAGAGGGGGCAAGCGUUAUUCGGAAUUAUUGGGCGUAAAGGGCGCGUAGGCGGCAUGGCAAGUGGAUGGUGAAAUCCCUCGGCUUAACCGAGGAACUGCCGUCCAAGCUGCUUCGCUUGAGACCGGGAGAGGUGAGUGGAAUUCCCAGUGUAGCGGUGAAAUGCGUAGAUAUUGGGAGGAACACCAGUGGCGAAGGCGGCUCACUGGACCGGUACUGACGCUGAAGCGCGAAAGCGUGGGGAGCAAACGGG
rnacentral:rRNA from 1 species